rnacentral:rRNA from 3 species
UGGGGAAUUUUGGACAAUGGGCGAAAGCCUGAUCCAGCAAUGCCGCGUGUGUGAAGAAGGCCUUCGGGUUGUAAAGCACUUUUGUCCGGAAAGAAAUGGCUCUGGUUAAUACCUGGGGUCGAUGACGGUACCGGAAGAAUAAGGACCGGCUAACUACGUGCCAGCAGCCGCGGUAAUACGUAGGGUCCAAGCGUUAAUCGGAAUUACUGGGCGUAAAGCGUGCGCAGGCGGUUGUGCAAGACCGAUGUGAAAUCCCCGAGCUUAACUUGGGAAUUGCAUUGGGGACUGCACGGCUAGAGUGUGUCAGAGGGGGGUAGAAUUCCACGUGUAGCAGUGAAAUGCGUAGAGAUGUGGAGGAAUACCGAUGGCGAAGGCAGCCCCCUGGGAUAACACUGACGCUCAUGCACGAAAGCGUGGGGAGCAAACAGG